rnacentral:rRNA from 1 species
AUGGAGACGGACACAGCGGGGAUGCCCCUGAACAGCAGGCGCUCGCCGAGCAGCUUCCCGAUCUUGGCCGCCGCAGCCACGUCCCGCGUCGACUCCAUGCUUGGCCUCAGGAUCUUCUCCUGA